UACGUAGGGGGCUAGCGUUGUCCGGAAUCAUUGGGCGUAAAGCGCGUGUAGGCGGCUCGGUAAGUCCGCUGUGAAAGUCGGGGGCUCAACCCUCGGAUGCCGGUGGAUACUGUCGGGCUAGAGUGCGGAAGAGGCGAGUGGAAUUCCUGGUGUAGCGGUGAAAUGCGCAGAUAUCAGGAGGAACACCUAUUGCGAAGGCAGCUCGCUGGGACGUAACUGACGCUGAGACGCGAAAGCGUGGGGAGCAAACAGG
rnacentral:rRNA from 1 species